rnacentral:rRNA from 1 species
CCUACGGGUGGCUGCAGUGGGGAAUAUUGGACAAUGGGCGAAAGCCUGAUCCAGCCAUGCCGCGUGUGUGAAGAAGGCCUUCGGGUUGUAAAGCACUUUCAGUGGGGAAGAAAGCCUUGGGGCUAAUACCCUCGAGGAAGGACAUCACCCACAGAAGAAGCACCGGCUAACUCCGUGCCAGCAGCCGCGGUAAUACGGAGGGUGCGAGCGUUAAUCGGAAUUACUGGGCGUAAAGCGCGCGUAGGCGGUCUGAUAAGCCGGUUGGGAAAGCCCCGGGCUCAACCUGGGAACGGCAUCCGGAACUGUCAGGCUAGAGUGCAGGAGAGGAAGGUAGAAUUCCCGGUGUAGCGGUGAAAUGCGUAGAGAUCGGGAGGAAUACCAGUGGCGAAGGCGGCCUUCUGGACUGACACUGACGCUGAGGUGCGAAAGCGUGGGUAGCAAACAGGAUUAGAUACCCGAGUAGUC